UUCGGGAAACCGGAGCUAAUACCGGAUGAUAUAUUGAACCGCAUGGUUCAAUAGUGAAAGACGGUUUUGCUGUCACUUAUAGAUGGAUCCGCGCCGCAUUAGCUAGUUGGUAAGGUAACGGCUUACCAAGGCAACGAUGCGUAGCCGACCUGAGAGGGUGAUCGGCCACACUGGAACUGAGACACGGUCCAG
rnacentral:rRNA from 1 species